CAACGCGAAGAACCUUACCUACCCUUGACAUGGCGGAGAUUCUGCCGAGACCUUCGGGAACUCUGAGACAGGUGCUGCAUGGCUGUCGUUGCCAGCGGUCCGGCCGGGAACUCAAAGGAGACUGCCAGGAGGAAGGUGGGGAUGACGUCAAGUCAUCAUGGCCCUUACUCACACGUCAUACAAUGGCUGGAGCAAAGGGUCGCCAACUAGCGGACCUCAUAAAGUGCGUCGUAGUCCGGAUUGGAGUCGUGCAUGAAGGCGGAAUCGCUAGUAAUCGUGGAUCAGCAU
rnacentral:rRNA from 1 species